rnacentral:rRNA from 1 species
UACGGAGGAUGCAAGCGUUAUCCGGAAUGAUUGGGCGUAAAGCGUCCGCAGGUGGCUGUGUAAGUCUGCUGUUAAAGAGUGAGGCUCAACCUCAUAAAAGCAGUGGAAACUACACGGCUAGAGUGCGUUCGGGGCAGAGGGAAUUCCUGGUGUAGCGGUGAAAUGCGUAGAUAUCAGGAAGAACACCGGUGGCGAAGGCGGGUUGCUGGGCCGACACUGACGCUGAGGCGCGAAAGCCAGGGGAGCGAACGGG